CAACUCUGGUGCAGGGAAAAACGGUUUUAGUGACGUGGCAAGACAGACUGGAAGUCUGGAACGCCUACAACAGAACUGCAGACUCGCAGAGUCAGACUGCACGCCUCUACCAUACCCUAUAAUCUUAUCUACUAAAAUUUAUAACAUCAGCGUCAGGAUAAUUUCGGAGAACUCCUAAAAUAAAGAAAACCUUCAACAGGCCUUCCUACUGCACUCUUCCACCAAACCCUGUAGGUACUAAUCUUACUAUCCAUUGAAAUUUGUAACAUCAGCGUCUGGGAAACUUCGGGAAACUUCUAAGAUAAAGUUACGAGAGGAAAGAUGUCAACAACAGGGAUACAAGAUGAAGCAGACAACGUUAGAGGUUUCUAAAGGGGAGAAAAGUCUAAAAGCGGCAUCAUUGAAAACUUAUUCACGAAGUAACGAAAAAAUGAUUUUGAAGGUGAGAGAAUUAUGAACACAAGCUAUAUCUGACGGGGAGAGAAGUCUACAAGAGAUGUUACCGAAGAGAAAAAAUAGUCGAAGAAACGCAACAAGUUCCGAAGGGGACAGAAGCCUACACAAGUUGGAAUAUAAGGGAAUAGUCGAAGAAGAAAAACUGGCACAGGAUGUUAUUCUUGUGUCUUAAGAAUUUCCUUGUAUUGAACACAGGAUGAUGAUAAUGAUUUAUGCUGCAUCUUUGUAAAUAUCAUCAUCUUCAGAAAAGUUGGGGUAGUAACCAAGAUGACUCUGCUACAUCUUCAGUAACGUUUACAACAGCGGUCGACUAAACUGUGCUUUAACUACGUAACCGAGAUGUAUCUUUGCUGAACACGCAAUCAUCUUCAGGAAAUUUGCACAUUGCCGACGAACGAAAAAUUUUACUCUUUGCUGUAUCUUCCAGCAUUACACAUUGGUCCAAAGAGUAACUUGUGCGAUGACUAUAGAUUCAUUCUUCCUGUGGUUAUAGAGAACAAAGGCUCAGAGUUUUAUCCCGAAGAAAAUUUUUAAACCACCACUCGCUAUGAAAUACCCCUCCUUAAAUUAUGUCUUGUCUUAUUUAUCUGCAAUAUCUUUGUUUCUGGUCCAUAACAGAAUUCAUAGCUGUAAAUGAUACAAAUAUAAAAUUGUCUGGUAAA